rnacentral:rRNA from 1 species
UCCUACGGGAGGCAGCAGUAGGGAAUAUUGCACAAUGGGGGAAACCCUGAUGCAGCGACGCCGCGUGGAGGAAGAAGGUCUUCGGAUUGUAAACUCCUGUUGUUGAGGAAGAUAAUGACGGUACUCAACAAGGAAGUGACGGCUAACUACGUGC